UACGGAGGGUGCAAGCGUUGUCCGGAAUCACUGGGCGUAAAGGGCGCGUAGGCGGCUCAUGAAGGCUGUGGUGAAAGUCCGGGGCUCAACCUCGGAUCGGCCGUGGCGACUCGUGGGCUGGAGCACUGUAGAGGCGGGUGGAAUUCCUGGUGUAGCGGUGAAAUGCGCAGAUAUCAGGAGGAACACCAAUGGCGAAGGCAGCUCGCUGGGACGGUACUGACGCUGAGACGCGAAAGCGUGGGGAGCAAACAGG
rnacentral:rRNA from 1 species